UGUGUGUAAUCAUGAAAGGUGAUGUGUGACAAUGUACUCCCAUGCAUUAUUUUCAUGAGAGUAAAGCCAUAUUUUGUGAUGUGUUUUGCACUCUCACGAAAUCUCUGGAUUCUGGUAGUGCGUGCAAGCCUAAGACCAAAUAGGGAGAUCAGGCAACCAAAGGACAGUGACUCCUUAUACUACUCCAAUGAAACCCACCUAGAUUAGCUAUCGAUAUAUAGAUCGAUUGAUCACAGGCCAGAGUCAUUGCCAAGAACCUAUGGCACAAUCUGUCUGGGGAGGGAAGCGUCGCUGCAUAGCAAGGUGGAAAAGGUCAUAUAGGAGUAUUUUUUUUGUCCUGGUUGAAGCUUGGUGAGCGGCGGCAGCGGGGCUUCUAAUACCAUGAGAGAGAGAGAGAGAGAGAUAGGAUUGGAGGAACAAUAUAAUCUGUGUUUUUCUUUUCAAUUAGAUCUAUUAUUAGGCGUGCAUUGUGAGUUUUGGUUAAUUAAUAGAAAUGUUUAUGAUUUUCAUAAUAGCAGAGGUGGGUAAUUUGUUUUAGAAAAUAUAGGUCUAAUUGCUAUUGAUAUUAAUGGUUAGAGUCCGUCAAAUUGAUGGACAGAUCUUUCUAAUUUAUGUGAAAAUUUUAAGGAUUUAUCUUUUUUUCCUACCGUGUUCGGUGAGAAUUAACAUGUGGCUCCCUUUUUUACGGCA
rnacentral:lncRNA from 1 species